rnacentral:snRNA from 1 species
GGAUGUGAGAGUGAUCUGGCUGUGACAUCUGUCACCCCACUGAUCAACAGGGUUGUUUAGGCUGAUCUGGCUGGCUAGGCGGGUGUCCCCUUCCUCCCUCACUGCUCCAUGAGUCCAGGGUAUAUGAUAGCUGUGUUCCCCUGCUAGAAUCUCCAAGCAAACUCUCAAGAAAUAGUUCAGAUAGAUUGCUAUUGGGUUAUAGCUUCCUAGGUGUGGUCACCUUCCUA